GGUUUCCCAUUCGAAUCAUUCGUCUGCCAAGUGUAAAGCAGUCAACAACUCUCGGACUUGAUUUCGUCAAAAUUUCCAGUGAAAAAAUAUGUAAAAACUAAAUCCUCUUAUUCAGAUCCCAAUGUACAAAGACGAUGGCGAUGCGGUCCGUUUCUCCAUAUAUGUAUGGAGCAUGGCCGAGGUCUUUGGUCUACGGAGGAUGACAAAAUACUAUCUCAAUUAGUGGUUUUCCAUUUCCCGUUUUCAUUUGUCCAACGAAUCGAUUCCUAAAUGUCGACGGUACCGGGCCCCAGGAUUGGGUCUGCAGCUUUGCGUCAAACAUUUCCAAACAUGUAUCACCUGUUCGGAUUUAAAAGAUAACAAUCACAAUGUUUAAUUAAAAUAAAAUACAGUAAAUUUAGAGAGCAUUACACUA